UUUGUUUUAAAUACAAAUUGUUGCAGUCCUGAAGCGUCCCUACAUUUAGAAAUCCUGAGAUUUGAUUAUGGGUCCUUUCCACCAGUCAUUGUUGGUUAGUGGAAUACUUAUAUUGAACAGUCAGAACUAUCAUGCAAAAGAACAGAAAUUUGAUUUAUUUAUUUUGGCGUUUCAAUGGCUAGUGACAUAUUGUAAAAAAGGAAAGCUGAUAUGCGGAGAUAAGCUGCAAAAAAGAUGGACCGUGCAUGGAUUAUGG